rnacentral:rRNA from 1 species
GACGAACGCUGGCGGCGUGCUUAACACAUGCAAGUCGAACGGAAAGGCCCUGCUUUUGUGGGGUGCUCGAGUGGCGAACGGGUGAGUAACACGUGAGUAACCUGCCCUUGACUUUGGGAUAACUUCAGGAAACUGGGGCUAAUACCGGAUAGGAGCUCCUGCUGCAUGGUGGGGGUUGGAAAGUUUCGGCGGUUGGGGAUGGACUCGCGGCUUAUCAGCUUGUUGGUGGGGUAGUGGCUUACCAAGGCUUUGACGGGUAGCCGGCCUGAGAGGGUGACCGGCCACAUUGGGACUGAGAUACGGCCCAGACUCCUACGGGAGGCAGCAGUGGGGAAUAUUGCACAAUGGGCGGAAGCCUGAUGCAGCAACGCCGCGUGCGGGAUGACGGCCUUCGGGUUGUAACCCGCUUUCGCCUGUGACGAAGCGUGAGCGACGGUAAUGGGUAAAGAAGCACCGGCUAACUACGUG